CCUACGGGUGGCAGCAGUGGGGAAUAUUGCACAAUGGGGGAAACCCUGAUGCAGCAACGCCGCGUGAGUGAGGAAGUAUUUCGGUAUGUAAAACUCUAUUAGCAGGGGAGAGAAAAGAAGGUACCUGAAAAAGAAGCCCCGACUAGCUACGGGCAAGCAGCCGCGGUCAUCCGUAGGGGGCAAGCGUUAUCCGGAUUUACUGGGUGUAAAGGGAGGGUAGACGGAAAGGCAAGUCAGAAGGGAAAACCCAAGGCGCAACCAUCGGACUGCUUUUGAAACUGUUAAACUAGAGUACGGGAGAGGUAAGAGGAAUGCCUAGUGUAGCGGUGAAAUGCGUAGAUAUUAGGAGGAACACCGAUUGCGAAGGCAGCUUACUAAACUGCCACUGACAUUGAUGCACGAAAGUGUGGGUAUCGAACAGGAUUAGAUACCCGAGUAGUC
rnacentral:rRNA from 1 species